rnacentral:rRNA from 1 species
UGGGGAAUAUUGCACAAUGGGCGCAAGCCUGAUGCAGCCAUGCCGCGUGUGUGAAGAAGGCCUUCGGGUUGUAAAGCACUUUCAGCGGGGAGGAAGGCGGUGAGGUUAAUAACCUCAUCGAUUGACGUUACCCGCAGAUGAAGCACCGGCUAACUCCGUGCCAGCAGCCGCGGUAAUACGGAGGGUGCAAGCGUUAAUCGUAAUUACUGGGCGUAAAGCGCACGCAGGCGGUCUGUCAAGUCGGAUGUGAAAUCCCCGGGGUCAAACUGGGAAGUGGAGUGGAAAGUGGAAGGGUAGAGUAUUGUAGAGGGGGGUAGAAUUCCAGGUGUAGCGGUGAAAUGCGUAGAGAUCUGGAGGAAUAACGGGGGCGAAGGCGGCCCCCUGGACAAAGAAUGACGCUAAGGUGCGAAAGAGUGGGGAGCAAACAGG